CAUACAUCGCCUCGUGCGAACAUGGCCCGGAAGGUGCGCGUGAGGCUACUGCGCAGAGUCUUGUUUUGCUCGGCGGGACGAGGGGAAUACGGAGGCGGACGCAUGUUCACGGGGCAUGGCGUGGUGCGCGUUCUAGUAAACAACUUGUGUGCGACUCAUGCGGGGAAUCUGCGUCCCGAGUAAUCGUGAUUUUUCUGCCGAACAAGCGCUAUACGUCGGUUCAGAAUGAAUUGUACCGUACACGGAUAAAUCAUUUGCCGUGUGUCUCGUGAACACGGCCUCAUACGUGGAAUAUUAGUGCGGUUUAACCAAGUUUGUCGGUUUCUCUCUGAGAACUCGACCGCGGACCACCGCGUGUGUUCCUCUCUACGCGUAUGUGUUUACGUGUGUAGUGACUGAUACGCGUGUUUACAUAGAACAAGUGUCGCCGGUGUUGACCGAUUUCCAGUGUCAUCAAUCGACUUUCAAUCGGCUUCGAGUUUCGACGUUUCGUCGGAGUCAUUCUUCGUUUUUCUUCGUUCCACGUUGACACGGAUUACUGUUCAUCGAUGGUGGGAGGAAGAUCGAGGAGAAGAGGAAAGUGUUUUGGGACGCCUCGUGUAUAAGGACGAGAAUAAGUCGCGUUUGUGAAGAGAGGCGAGGACAGGUAGCGAGGAUUCACGGUUCGGCUGUGAUCGAGUCCGAAAGACGCGAUCGAUGGCGGCAUACAGCCAUCCACACAGCCACCGGUGUCAUUUCUUCGCCAGGAGAGACUGAUAUCUGGCUCAUUCUCGACACGGGAUUGGGCUCGAACAAUAGUACAACACCGCGAGAAGAGAUGUCUCUUCCACCGACGUUCCAACGACGUUACGUCUCCGACUGGUCCUGAGUCUGGUCGAUCUUCCUCGAAUCUUCGUCCACUUCGGCCUCUUUCGAGUCUUCUUCUUCUUCUUCUUUUUCCUCUUC